rnacentral:rRNA from 1 species
AGCAGCCGCGGUAAUUCCAGCUCCAAUAGCGUAUAUUAAAGUUGUUGCAGUUAAAAGCUCGUAGUUGAAUUUCGGGGUCAGUAGAUUGGUCAUGCCUCUGGUAUGCACUGGUCUUACUGAUUCCUCCUUCCUGAUGAACCGUAAUGCCAUUAAUUUGGUGUUGCGGGGAAACUGGACUGUUACUUUGAAAAAUUAGAGCGUUUAAAGCAGGCUAACGCUUGAAUACAUUAGCAUGGAAUAAUGAAAUAGGACGUUCGAUCUUAUUUUGUUGGUUUCUAGGAUUGACGUAAUGAUUAAUAGGGAUAGUUGGGGGCAUUAGUAUUCAAUUGUCAGAGGUGAAAUUCUUGGAUUUAUUGAAGACUAACUACUGCGAAAGCAUUUGCCAAGGAUGUUUUCAUUAAUCAAGAACGAAAGUUAGGGAUCGAAGACGAUCAGAUACCGUCGUAGUCUUAACCAUAGACUAUGCCGACUAGGGAUCGGAUGAUGUUAAUUUUUAUGA